UACGUAGGGGGCUAGCGUUGUCCGGAUUUAUUGGGCGUAAAGAGCUCGUAGGCGGUUCAGUAAGUCGGGUGUGAAAACUCUGGGCUUAACCCAGAGCCGCCAUCCGAUACUGCUGAACUUGAGUACGGUAGGGGAGUGGGGAAUUCCUGGUGUAGCGGUGAAAUGCGCAGAUAUCAGGAGGAACACCGGUGGCGAAGGCGCCACUCUGGGCCGAAACUGACGCUGAGGAGCGAAAGCGUGGGUAGCAAACAGG
rnacentral:rRNA from 1 species